AACUGUAACAGAAAAUAGAAACAAAAUUUUGAUGAAUCGAUUGCAGGAGCGAAAUGAUUUGCACACACAUAUAUAGCAUUAAAAGUAGCAAAUGAUGAUGAAAGUUCAUUAAAGUAAUCGACAACCUUCGUGAUUCCCCGCUAAGUAAAAGGGAAUGACCAGUGACUAAACUGAUGUAAUUUAAGCUCCUUAAAUAGUUCUUUCUCAACUAUUUCUGAGUAUAUGAUGGACGGAUAAACCUUGAGUUAGAAUAAUUGAGAUAUUUGAUAUAUUUAUGACACGGUUCGCUGAAAUUUACAAGUAGAGAAUUCAUGGAAGAAGGAUUGAGUAAAUACUAAGAAAUACUGUGACUAUAUUUAGUCACGUAUAUUCUUUUAUCUUGAAAUAGCUUGUUAUGACGAGAUAUGAUUCUCAUUCAUCCAAGGGAAGUUAUGUCAUUAAACUGCUACUAAAUUAAACUAAAAUACUAUGUAAGUAGUACAUUUGAAAAUGCUUGAAACAGAAAGUAUUUGAUACCAGAAAAAAAUGCACAGAAAUACAUGCAAAGGAAAUAGGGAAGAAUGUAUAAGCAUGAGUUAUCCAACCUAAUACGUACCAAUUGUAUUCAUAAUAUAAUAACAGAAUAACUUAAAUAAAAAGAGAUAAAAGUAACUUUA